AAUGAACGCUGGCGGCAGGCCUAACACAUGCAAGUCGAACGGAUCCUUCGGGAUUAGUGGCGGACGGGUGAGUAACGCGUGGGAACAUACCCUUUGGUACGGAAUAGCCUCGGGAAACUGGGAGUAAUACCGUAUGUGGUCGAGAGACGAAAGAUUUAUCGCCAAAGGAUUGGCCCGCGUUGGAUUAGGUAGUUGGUGGGGUAAUGGCCUACCAAGCCGACGAUCCAUAGCUGGUUUGAGAGGAUGAUCAGCCACACUGGGACUGAGACACGGCCCGUACUCCUACGGGAGGCAGCAGUGGGGAAUCUUAGACAAUGGGGGAAACCCUGAUCUAGCCAUGCCGCGUGAUCGAUGAAGGCCUUAGGGUUGUAAAGAUCUUUCAGGUGGGAAGAUAAUGACUGUACCACCAGAAGAAGCCCCGGCUAACUCCGUGCCAGCCGCCGCGGUAAGAC
rnacentral:rRNA from 1 species